rnacentral:rRNA from 1 species
CCUGCCCUCUAGACGGGACCAACAUUCCGAAAGGGAUGCUAAUACCGGGAUGUGAUCCAUUUCCCGCAUGGGAGAGGGAUGAAAGAUGGCCUCUAUUUAUAAGCCAUCGCUAGAAGAUGGGCCUGCGUCUGAUUAGCUAGUUGGUGGGGUAACGGCUCACCAAGGCGAUGAUCAGUAGCCGGUCUGAGAGGAUGAACGGCCACAUUGGGACUGAGACACGGCCCAGACUCCUACGGGAGGCAGCAGUGGGGAAUCUUCCGCAAUGGGCGAAAGCCUGACGGAGCAACGCCGCGUGAGUGAAGAAGGUCUUCGGAUCGUAAAGCUCUGUUGUCGGGGACGAAGGGGCAGAUCAGGAAAUGGGUCUGCUUAGACGGUACCUGACGAGGAAGCCACGGCUAACUACGUGCCAGCAGCCGCGGUAAUACGUAGGCGGCAAGCGUUGUCCGGAAUCAUUGGGCGUAAAGGGAGCGCAGGUGGGACGGUAAGUCUUUCUUAAAAGUGCGGGGCUCACCCCCGUGAGGGGAAAGAAACUAUCGUUCUUGAGUGCAGGAGAGGAAAGCGGAAUUCCUAGUGUAGCGGUGAAAUGCGUAGAUAUUAGGAAGAACACCAGUGGCGAAGGCGGCUUUCUGGACUGUAACUGACACUGAGGCUCGAAAGCCAGGGGAGCGAACGGGAUUAGAUACCUCGGUAGUCCUGGCCGUAAACGAUGGAUACUA